AUUGAACGCUGGCGGCAGGCCUAACACAUGCAAGUCGAACGAGUGGCGGACGGGUGAGUAAUGUCUGGGAAACUGCCCGAUGGAGGGGGAUAACUACUGGAAACGGUAGCUAAUACCGCAUACCAUCGGAUGUGCCCAGAUGGGAUUAGCUAGUAGGUGGGGUAAUGGCUCACCUGGGCGACGAUCCCUAGCUGGUCUGAGCGGAUGACCAGCCACGCUGGAACUGAGUGAAGGUCCAAACUCCGACGGGAGGAAGCAGUGGGGUUUAUUGCACGAUGGGCGCAAGCCUGCUGCAGCCAUGCCGCGUGUAUGCAGAAGGCCUUCGGGUUGUAAAGUACUUUCAGCGAGGGGGCGUUACUCGCAGAAGAAGCACCGGCUAACUCCGUGCCAGCAGCCGCGGUAAUUC
rnacentral:rRNA from 1 species